CAAAGUUUUAAAUUCAAAUAUUAAUCGAAGCCAAUUAUUAAAAAAAAAAAAUCUUUAACUACAAGAAUGUAAAACUGAGAAUAUUUCCCCUUCAAGCACAAUACACUUUUAUCCAUCUUUGCAGUCAGCCAGGCAUCAACUUGCAUGUCAAAGCAAACCGACAUAUCAUCAAACAUUUUUACAUGCCAACAAACAUAAAAACGUCCAGUUUUCUUGAACUCUAAUGUUUCUGUGAUCAUCUAAAGAGGAACAUUCAUAAUAAUCCUUGCAUAUGAUUUCUGCCUUUGGUGAUGCACGUUGAAAUCGAAGCAUCAUCUUCAAAAUUUUGAGUUGCACCUCUAUAUAAAUGUCAACAGGAAGCUCAAUAAGCAUUUUCUUGAGUGCAGAUGAUUUGGCUAAUAGAAACUUAGCAAUCUCCACUUCAGGCCAAGUACCAUUGAAGUUUUCUAGUGUUACUUCCUGCAGUUGAUCCAAAGCAAAAUCCGGGUGGAGUUGAAGGGAAAUAAAUGUCUCAGCAAUUGUGCUUUCAUUCAACCAUAAAGAAGAAUUUAUGAAGUUAAUCCAAGCCUAUCAAGUACAAAGCACAAAAGAUUUUUCCCCCAAGCAACUCCCAUAAAAUAAUUGUAGUCCCCACAACUGACCCCAAUGUGAAGUUUUUGCAAGUAAGGGGAGCUUCUAAUCAAGCCAAGAACAGUUGAGACGUCCUCCAAUUUCCAGAAGCAUAAUCUAAUCAUUUUAAGAACUCUUAGGCAGCUUAGAAAAGUUGGAAGCCCCUUUAAUGCAUCAGGAACAGCGAACAUCUUGCACAAAGAACCAGAAUACGAACGUAACAGACAGUGAGUGCUAAAGGAAUACACAACAUAGAUGGCAAAAUACUACAUUACCUUUAGAAAGUAAUAAUCCACACUCAGGUGCUCUCAAGCAGGCAGACUGCUUAAGACCUUAAUCAAAUCAGAGAUCUUCCUCGAGGACAAUGGAUAUGCACCUACGGUCUCAUAAAUAGAUACGCUAGCAAGACAAGGUGUAUUUUUGAAACUGAUAGAUUUGUAAGUGCCAUAAUAAUAUAGGAAUUUGAGAAUUGGAGCAUUGAUAUCUAGGCAAGAAAUUUGUGUGCACUCACGCAACACCAGAUGUUCAAGUAGUGGGCAAUUGGAUAUGAAACUUUUGAAGUAAUAUGUAAAUUGGACAUCCUGUAACUCAAGACUAACAAGCCUACCAAAUCCUUUAAAUGUAGAUGGAGGUUCGAAUAUACAUGCAUACAAAUUCAGAUGUCUAAGUUCCAUACAUGAAAAGAAGUGUGAAGGCAAUUUGUGGUAGUCUCUGAUGCGAAGGCCAAAAUCUUGGAUACCUUUCGUGGACAGGAAAAGAAUUAAUCUAUCAAUCUCAGGACAGCUUUUCAAUCCACUUAAGGACAAAGUGAAUUUAUGUAUUGGUCCAGUGUGAAGUAAUAACACUUCAUAUAUGUUCAUCAUCAGAAGUUUAUAACUCUGCGAAUUUUGGCUUUUCUGUGAAGAACAGAGAAAAGUAUUGUCAAACACGAGUUGAGGAACAUCUGCCCAUCUGUGCCUCAAUUUUUUUGACAAGAUACUGGUCCUUCCUGCUUCUUUCAGUGGCAAAUGCCUUAAUAUAUUCUCCAGGACAUUGCCCGGUAGAUUACUGAUUCUAUCAAAAUUUGAGCAACACAAAUUGGUCUGCAAAUUGAACCCAACAAGAGCAAUAAAAUCAAGAGGCAAUUAGACUAAGUAUCAAGAUCAUCAUCUGAUAUAACAAACUCAAUUAAGCAUGAAAUGAUGAAAGUAAUUUCCAUACAGAGCAACUAAAUUUCCAUAAAUAUAUACCUAUCAAAGACUAGCAAUAAUUUAGGGAAAAAUGAAAAGCCCAAAAACCCAAUGUAAAAAAAAACAAAUUGGAAAAUGACAACCAAGCCACUGCAUGUUUCGCGCAGCCACUUCUCUCAGUUGAAUACAGCAGACAAGGGAUCAACUUUAAAAACAACAGCAAUGGAUGCAAGACAAAUCGAACCCUAAAGGUUUCAAUUUUGGCAAUCAAAAGCAGCAGUUUAACAUUUAAGCUAGAAAGGGCAUUGGACGGCAACACAUUACAUUGAACGAAUAAUGGCACAAAAUCGAAUCUUCCUUCAAGCAACAUGAUAAACCAAGAAAAAAAGGAAACCCAUAUGGGAAAAUAUAGAAUUGUUGCUUAUUAUCGAAAUCAG
rnacentral:misc_RNA from 1 species